rnacentral:rRNA from 1 species
UACGUAGGUGGCAAGCGUUAUCCGGAAUUAUUGGGCGUAAACGCGCGUAGGCGGUUUUUUAAGUCUUGAUGUGAAAGCCCACGGCUCAACCGUGGAGGGUCAUUGGAAACUGGAAAACUUGAGUGCAGAAGAGGAAAUGGAAUUCCAUGUGUAGCGGUGAAAUGCGCAGAGAUAUGGAGGAACACCAGUGGCGAAGGCGACUUUCUGGUCUGUAACUGACGCUGAUGUGCGAAAGCGUGGGGAUCAAAACAGGUUAGAUACCCGUGUAGUCC